rnacentral:rRNA from 1 species
CAGGACGAACGCUGGCGGCGUGCUUAAUACAUGCAAGUCAACUUGACUUUAGAUAGACAUAUCGAAAAGUAGGGUGGCGCACGGGUGCGUAACGCGUAGGUAAUCUGCCCUGAGGUCUGACAUAACCCGUCGAAAGGCGGGCUAACAUCAGAUGAUAUAUAAUCACGACAUCGUGGAAAUAUCAAAUCUUCGGAGCCUUGGGAUGAGCCUGCGUCUGAUUAGGUAGUUGGCGGAGUAAUAGCCCACCAAGCCUACGAUCAGUAGCUGGUCUGAGAGGAUGAUCAGCCACACUGGAACUGAGACACGGUCCAGACUCCUACGGGAGGCAGCAGUAAGGAAUAUUGCUCAAUGGGGGAAACCCUGAAGCAGCAACGCCGCGUGAAGGAUGAAAUACUUUGUAUGUAAACUUCUGUAAGAUGGGAAAAUAUUCUCCUCGGGAGAAUUGAUAGUACCAUCAGAGUAAGCCCCGGCUAACUACGUG